rnacentral:rRNA from 1 species
UCCUACGGGGGGCAGCAGUAGGGAAUUUUCGUCAAUGGGCGCAAGCCUGAACGAGCAAUGCCGCGUGAACGAGGAAGGUCUUCGGAUCGUAAAGUUCUGUUGAAGGGGAAAAAGAGCGGAGAGAGGAAAUGGUCUCCGAUUGAUAUUACCCUUCGAGGAAGUCACGGCUAACUACGUGCCAGCAGCCGCGGUAAUACGUAGGUGGCGAGCGUUAUCCGGAAUGAUUGGGCGUAAAGGGUGCGUAGGCGGCCUGCUAAGUCUGGAGUGAAAGGUACCGGCUCAACCGGUACAAGCUCUGGAAACUG